ensembl:snoRNA SNORA73 Small nucleolar RNA SNORA73 family
CCAACGUGGAUAUCCGGAGAAGUCGCUCUCUCUCGGCUCUGUCCGUGUGGCGCAAGGGAGCGUAGGCCUUCGGGCCCGUGACGUACGGUCCCCUUCCACGACGUUGGAGAUCAAGCCGGGCCCUCGGGCCUGCAGCCUGCAUAUUCCUACUGCUUCCCCGAGCCCUCGGGCCCUGACGGGGGAGACAAACCAUGCAGGAAACAGCU